rnacentral:lncRNA from 1 species
ACAUAUUGAAGUUGAUUGCCAUUUCAUUCGUACCAAGCUUCAGGAUUGGUCUCAUUUCUUUGCAUCAUGUUGCAUCUGGUGGCCAGUUAGCUGAUAUCUUUACUAAGCCAUUGACUGGCAUCUUGCAUCAUCAUUUUUUGUCCAAGCUGGGUGUUUGUUCACCCUCCAGCUUGAAGGGGGGUGUUGAGCUUCAGCAGUGUCAGCCCACUACAAGUAGUGGCCCAAGUUAGCAGCAGCCCAAGUGUAUUUAAUCUGUUUGUAUAAUUUUGUAUAUGAUCCAGGGGCACAAAUGUAAUUACACACACACACAUAGAUUUUUUUAUUACGUUUUUGUAUAUACUGAGCGGAAGGUUCGAGAUAUCAGAUCAAUCAAAUACAACUUUUCAUUUCUCAUUUUUCUCUCUUCUCUUUCCUCUUAACUGUUCAUCUUCUUCUUAAAUUUUUCCUUCAAUCCGACGACUUAGGUUGUUAACAUGGUAUCAGAGCGGGUAUAUUCUGGUUCUACUCGUCGUCAGCGUUCGAUCGAUGUUACCCUCAACGGUUUCC